AACGAACGCUGGCGGCAUGCCUAACACAUGCAAGUCGAACGAAGGCUUCGGCCUUAGUGGCGCACGGGUGCGUAACGCGUGGGAAUCUGCCCUUUGGUUCGGAAUAACAGCUGGAAACGGCUGCUAAUACCGGAUGAUGACGAAAGUCCAAAGAUUUAUCGCCAGAGGAUGAGCCCGCGUUGGAUUAGGUAGUUGGUGGGGUAAAGGCCUACCAAGCCGACGAUCCAUAGCUGGUCUGAGAGGAUGAUCAGCCACACUGGGACUGAGACACGGCCCAGACUCCUACGGGAGGCAGCAGUGGGGAAUAUUGGACAAUGGGCGCAAGGCUGAUCCAGCAAUGCCGCGUGAGUGAUGAAGGCCCUAGGGUUGUAAAGCUCUUUUACCCGGGAAGAUAAUGACUGUACCGGGAGAAUAAGCCCCGGCUAACUCCGUG
rnacentral:rRNA from 1 species